CAGUAUUAUGACAUUUCAGCUAAGAGUAACUACAACUUUGAGAAGCCUUUCCUCUGGCUUGCUAGAAAGCUAAUUGGAGAUCCUAACUUGGAGUUUGUUGCCAUGCCUGCUCUUGCACCCCCAGAAGUUGUUAUGGACCCAGCACUGGCAGCACAGUAUGAGCAAGACUUACAGAUUGCUCAAACCACUGCACUGCCAGAUGAAGAUGAUGACCUGUGAGGGAUGAAGCUGGAGCCCAGCGUCAGAAGUCUAGUUUUAUAGGCAACUGUCCUGUGAUGUCAGUGGUGCAGCGUGUUUGCCACUUUAUUAUCUAGCUGAGCAGAACAUGUGCUUAAUCUUUGGGAUGCUGAAAGAGAUGAAUGGGCUUCGGAGUGAAUGUGGCAGUUUAAAAAACAAAACAAAAAAACUUCAUAUUUUGGACCUGCAUAUUUAGCUGUUUUUUGGACUGCAAUUACUUCCCCUUUGAGUUUCAAAUAUAAGACUGCUGCAGUCACAUCAGAGUAUUAAGUGGUAAAUCUUGUUUCUGUCAUUCCCAUUCUUUUUUUUUUGUUUAGAUAAUAAAGUUGUAUUUCAAAUAUC